UACGAGGGGGGCAAGCGUUGUUCGGAAUUAUUGGGCGUAAAGGGCGCGUAGGCGGUGCGGUAAGUCACCUGUGAAAUCUCUGGGCUCAACUCAGAGUCUGCAGGCGAAACUGCCGUGCUGGAGUAUGGGAGAGGUGCGUGGAAUUCCCAGUGUAGAGGUGAAAUUCGUAGAUAUUGGGAAGAACACCGGUGGCGAAGGCGGCGACCUGGUCCGAUACUGACGCUGAGGCGCGAAAGCGUGGGGAGCAAACAGG
rnacentral:rRNA from 1 species